rnacentral:rRNA from 1 species
GACGAACGCUGGCGGCAGGCCUAACACAUGCAAGUCGAGCGGACCCGUCGGGGUUAGCUGCGGAGGGGGAAGUGCCGCGUGGGGAUAUGCCCUUCUCUAAGGAAUAGUCCUGGGAAACUGGGGGUAAUACCGUAUACGCCAAUACGGGGUAAGAUUUAUCGGGGAAGGAUUAGCACUCGUUGGAUUAGGUAGUUGGUCGGGUAAUGGCCUAUCAAGCGGACUAUCCAUAGCUGGAUCGAGAGGAUGAUCAGGCACACUGGGGCUGAGAGACGGAGCAGAUUUCUACGAGUGGAAGCAAGGCGGAAUCUGAGACGACGGGGGCAACACUGAUCUAGCCAGGUCGUGUGAGUGAUGAAGGCCUUAGGGUUGUAAAGCUCUGUCAGAUGUGAAGAUAAUGACGGUACCAGAAGAAGAAGCCCCGGCUAACUCCGUG